CUACGGGCGGCUCCAGUGGGAAAUAUUGCACAAUGGGCGCAAGCCUGAUGCAGCCAUGCCGCGUGUAUGAAGAAGGCCUUCGGGUUGUAAAGUACUUUCAGCGGGGAGGAAGGGAGUAAAGUUAAUACCUUUGCUCAUUGACGUUACCCGCAGAAGAAGCACCGGCUAACUCCGUGCCAGCAGCCGCGGUAAUACGGAGGGUGCAAGCGUUAAUCGGAAUUACUGGGCGUAAAGCGCACGCAGGCGGUUUGUUAAGUCAGAUGUGAAAUCCCCGGGCUCAACCUGGGAACUGCAUCUGAUACUGGCAAGCUUGAGUCUCGUAGAGGGGGGUAGAAUUCCAGGUGUAGCGGUGAAAUGCGUAGAGAUCUGGAGGAACACCGGUGGCGAAGGCGGCCCCCUGGACGAAGACUGACGCUCAGGUGCGAAAGCGUGGGGAGCAAACAGGAUUAGAUACCCGUGUAGUC
rnacentral:rRNA from 1 species